rnacentral:rRNA from 1 species
GACGAACGCUGGCGGCGUGCUUAACACAUGCAAGUCGAACGGAAAGGCCCUUCUUUUGUGGGGUGCUCGAGUGGCGAACGGGUGAGUAACACGUGAGUAACCUGCCCUUGACUUUGGGAUAACUUCAGGAAACUGUGGCUAAUACCGGAUAGGAGCUCCUGCGGCAUGGUGGGGGUUGGAAAGUUUCGGCGGUUGGGGAUGGACUCGCGGCUUAUCAGCUUGUUGGUGGGGUAGUGGCUUACCAAGGCUUUGACGGGUAGCCGGCCUGAGAGGGUGACCGGCCACAUUGGGACUGAGAUACGGCCCAGACUCCUACGGGAGGCAGCAGUGGGGAAUAUUGCACAAUGGGCGGAAGCCUGAUGCAGCAACGCCGCGUGCGGGAUGACGGCCUUCGGGUUGUAAACCGCUUUCGCCUGUGACGAAGCGUGAGUGACGGUAAUGGGUAAAGAAGCACCGGCUAACUACGUG